CCUACGGGAGGCAGCAGUGAGGAAUAUUGGUCAAUGGACGCAAGUCUGAACCAGCCAUGCCGCGUGCAGGAAGACGGCUCUAUGAGUUGUAAACUUCUUUUGUCAAGGGACAAAAUCAGGCUCGAGAGCCUGACCGAGGGUACUUGAAGAAAAAGCAUCGGCUAACUCCGUGCCAGCAGCCGCGGUAAUACGGAGGAUGCGAGCGUUAUCCGGAUUUAUUGGGUUUAAAGGGUGCGUAGGCGGGCUGUUAAGUCAGCGGUAAAAGCCCGGGGCUCAACCCCGGCGAGCCGUUGAAACUGGCUGUCUUGAGAUGUCGAGAGGUAGGCGGAAUGCGCAGUGUAGCGGGGAAAUGCUUAGAUAUUGCGCAGAACUCCGAUUGCGAAGGCAUCUCACGAAUCCGCGAUUGACGCUGAUGCACGAAAGCGUGGGUAUCAAACAGGAUUAGAUACCCCUGUAGUC
rnacentral:rRNA from 1 species